GGACGAACGCUGGCGGCAUGCUUCAUACAUGCAAGUCGAACGAUAAGGUCUCUUCGGAGAUACAUAAGUGGCGGACGGGUGAGUAAUAUGUAGGAAAUCUGCCCUUGAGAGGGGGACAACAGAGGGAAACUUCUGCUAAUACCCCAUAUGAGCGUACCUGAAAUGGUAUUCUUGAAAACUCCGGUGCUCAAGGAUGAGCCUGCAUCUGAUUAGCUUGUUGGCGGUGUAAUGGACCACCAAGGCGACGAUCAGUAGCUGGUUUGAGAGGAUGAUCAGCCACAAUGGGACUGAGACACGGCCCAUACUCCUACGGGAGGCAGCAGUAGGGAAUUUUGCGCAAUGGGCGAAAGCCUGACGCAGCAAUGCCGCGUGAACGUAGAAGCCCUUCGGGGUGUAAAGUUCUGUCAGUAGGGACGAAUUUUGACGGUACCUACAGAGGAAGCACCGGCUAACUCCGUGCCAGCCGCCGC
rnacentral:rRNA from 1 species